GAAAAAGCACACUUUAAUUAUUUUUCUCUCCAAAGUUUUCUCUCUAGCCCAAAUCCAAAAUUCUAGAGUGAGAGAGAGUGAAAUAUUGAGCCAAGAUCAUGUAAUAACAAGCCCAAUUCAGUUCGUCAAGAUCAGAAAUCAAAGUAAAGCUCAAAAGGUAUAAACCCCUAAAUUCUAGAAAUCCUUUUGAUUCUUGUAAAACUUAGUGUUUAGAUGUUUAAUGUGGUGUAUUAUGAUGUUAUUGAGUGAUCUAGGUUGUAAUAACAUGGACCCAUAACAUCUAAAUACAAUGACCAGAUAAAUUUUAUCAAAGUCAAACCCUAAUAUUAUUAGAACGUCAACGUUCAGUUAGAAAACCCUAACGUCUGAUAAGAAACCCUAGAAACCGAUUCUGGAAACCCUAAUUUCUGUUUUGGGAAUUUAAAACCCUAAUUUGGAUAUUAAAAUCAUAAUUUGGGAAUUUAAUUGUAAUAUAUAAAGUUUAUAUAUUUUAAUUGCAACCUAAUCAGGGAAAACCCUAAUGAUUAAUUAGAUUAUCUAAUAAUUUAGAAAACCCUAAUGUUACGAUUUAAAACCCUAAUUAUUCUGUUAGGAACCCUAAUGUACAGUUAUGGAAUUAAUUGCUAAAUUACUAAUUUUAAUUAGGAAUUAUUAAUCCUAAUUGUCAAUAAUGAUCUAUAAAUAGGGAAAUUAGAAUAUAAUUAGAAAAUCCUAAUUAUAAUUUAUAGAUAUUAAUUUUUUAUCUAGAAAAUCUAAAUUUGAAAAUAUUUGAAAAUCGAUUUUCUUAGAACCUUAGGUUUUAACCCUAAUGGUCUAACCCUAAGGGUUGGGUUAAAUGACAAGUAUGCUAUUGAUUUUAAAAGUUAAAUGUCCAAUUUACCCUUUUGUGCAUUAUUGGAUAGAAGUGAAAAGUCUAAUUUACCCUUUUUGUCCCAUUUGGUGAAUUAUUGGUAGAAAAAUCCUACCAUAUCUUUCAAAGCCAACCAUUAUUGAUUUUGUGGUCUGAAAAUCCCAGCAAAUUAGUCUAUAAGAUCAGCAAUUAACAAGCCAAGUUCAUUGCAUCAAUUAUUAUAGAUUUUAGAGAGAGGAAAAGCUCACUUUAAUUAUUUUUCUCUCCAAAGUUUUCUCUCUCGCCCAAAUCCGAAAUUCUAGAGUGACAGAGAGUGAAAUAUUGAGCCAAGAUCAUGUAAUAACAAGCCCAAUUCAGUUCGUCAAGAUCAGAAAUCAAAGUAAAGUUCAAAAGGUAUAAACCCCUAAAUUCUAGAAAUCCUUUUGAUUCUUGUAAAACUUAGUGUUUAGAUGUUUAAUGUGGUGUAUUAUGAUGUUAUUGAGUUAUCUGGGUUGUAAUAACAUGGACCCAUAACAUCUAAAUACACGAAAUUAAUGCUUUCUAAAAUCUGGAAAACUUGAAAAAUAUGGCAUGACAACCGAAUGUCAGAUGCCUUUAAUCUGUGUAUGUUAGGUGUUUAAUGUGUUUGUUGUUAUAGUUCUAUAGUAUGCCAUGAGGUCUUCAUUCGGAAACUUGAAUCCAGUCUAGAUCGUGUGUAGAUUAAAAGUUAUAAGUGGUCAAACAUGCCUGCCCGACCAUGACUUUUUCCUUUUUCUGGGCAACCCAGAAUGCAUAAACAGGCGUCUGACAGUAUAUUCCAGCGUCUAGAUCUGUCAGUGUGUUGAUUAUUUGGUAAGGACAUUAUGUCUAAGUUGUAGUAUGUUAUGUUAACUCUAUGCUCAUGCUUUUAUAUCCUUGAAAUAAUCAACAUAUUGAACUCUAUGGAUGGUCAAACCUGCAAAGAUGAUCACAGAUUUGGUUUUCUAGAAUUUCCAAAAAACUUAAGAGCAAUGUUUCUGACACACUUUGACUGGACGGAUCCUGGCGAUUGAAGUGUUUUUGAACUAUGAUGUUAAUAUAUAAAUGUUCCUUGUCAUGUCUAUUACUAGUUUGAACCUUUAGACCACCUGAACAAAGAUCAGAACAUAGAUUAAAGUGAGCUUGAAUGUGUUAACUCAAAACUUUCUGGGCCCAGAAAACCCAGAACGUGUUCUGACAGUGAAUUUGUUUGCUUAGAUCUCUUUGUUGUUAUGCUAUUUGAUCAAACUAAUUAUUGUAUUGUGUAGUCUCGUACGAGUACUACACGAUCUGACCAAGAUCAAUCCCAGAAACCAAAUGGUCUAAGAUCUACAAGUGGUCAAAGUAGCAGCCUUGAUAACGAAGUUGUCAGGCUCAAGAACACCUAUAACGACAGUUUCGUCGCUAUAGGGCCCUUUAGCGACACUUAUUUUCGGAAAUUACAUUAAUUAAAUAAAUAAAUAGAUAAAAAUAGUUUUUAAUUAUUAAAAAUACAUAAUAAAUUAUGAAAAAUUAUUUUAAAGCCUGAAAAAUAGUUUUUAAUUAUUUUGAGUAUAUUUCGAAAAUAUUUAGUAUUUUUGGAGUAUAAAAGGUAUUUAUUUAUUUAAUUAUAAUAUUAAAUAAAUGAUUUAAAAAUGGUUUUAAUUCAUGAAAAAUUAUAUUAUGACGUUAGAAAAUAUUUUAAGUUAUAAAAUAUAACUUUUGAUAUUUUGGUAUGAAAAUAUUAAUAUUUUAUUAUUAAUAUCAAUUAUUGGAUAAUAGAUUUAACUGUUUAAAAAUCAUAGAAAUAUGAUUUUAAGGUAUUAAAAAUAUUGUGAUAUAUUAUAAUUAUAUUAUUAUAUUAUGUUAUGAUUUUCAUUAAUAUUUAAUGAUAAAUAGAUAUUAAUGAUUAAGAAAUUAUGUGGUAUUUAAUUUAUUUAAAUACGUUAUAAAUGAUUGGAAAAUCAAUAUAAAUGGUAAUAAUUAUCUGAAAAUUAUUACAAGUCUUAGAAAAUAUUUUGACUGAUAAGAAAAUUAUCUGAGGCAUGGUUAAAUGUUUAAGCAAAGUUUAAUUGAACUUAAACUCGUCAAUUGUCCGACUAGACCGUCGGGAUGAUAGAAUUGUGUUGGUUUCAACUCAGAAUGAAAUAGCUUGACUUGAUAUUAAGUUUUAUGUGCUGAAUAGACUGAUGGUGUUAUGCUCUACGUGUUUAGGUUACUGUUAUAUUAUGAUGAUAUUAUUCUAAUAUUGUAUAUCUAUAUUAUUAAUAUUAGGUCUUCAAACGAAGUUUAUUAUAUUGUGUUACGGUAAUCAACGGUUCAGGCAAGUUUCCUUUUACUUAACUCUACUAAGAGUUGUUCAUUCAGAUGUACUUAUGGUUAAUCAUCUCUGAUUGCCAUGUUGAAUUGUACUAUAUACAUCUUGCAUGUAUAAGUCAGGUAUGAAAGGCUGAUCACCUUCAUUACCAGUUGGUCCAGAUAUAUUAUUGUUCAUGUUCAAUACUUGUUCAGUCAAAAUUUUGUUCAUGCUAAUUCACAAAUACAUUGUGAAGGAUAGACACCUUAUUAUUCAAACUCUUUUAAUCGUGAUAUAUCUUUAAAUUGUUUAAAAACUUGCUGGGAAACUUUCAUGCUCACCCUUGCUAUAUCAUGAUAAACAUUGCAGAUAAGGUGAAUGCGUUCGGAUACAGGAAAAAGCAUAGUCAUCCUCUUGUAGAUUCAGAAACUCCCCCUCAGUUGGAACCUCUUCUUGAGCUGUAGACAUCUCCUCCUCAGCCGGUGUAUACUCAAUCAUGAGAAUUUCAGGGAUCUCCCCCUCAGCUGGAGCAUUGUUCUCUUUAUUUGCUUGGGGAUUUUGUGACAACCCGAGAAAAUUAGACAAUUUAUUAAAAUCUUAAAUGAUUGAUUUAAGGUCAAAUAAUAGACCUAGAUAGAAAAUUAGUGUAUGUGUUUGAAGUUUUGAGAUGGAAUUUUGUGGAUUUCAAAAUUCUGUAUAAAUUUUUUGGUGAAUUAUUCAAAAUUGAGGGUAUAUGUGUAUAUGAUCUGUGAUUAUGGUAUUAUGUGUACAAAAUGUGGUUAAGGGUCAAGGGUUAACCAAAUUAAUUUUAUCAAAGUCAAACCUUAAUAUUAUUAGAACGUCAACGUUCAGUUAGAAAACCCUAACGUCUGAUAAGAAACCCUAGAAACCGAAUCUGGAAACCCUAAUUUCUGUUUCGGGAAUUUAAAACCCUAAUUCGGAUAUUAAAAUCCUAAUUUGGGAAUUUAAUUGCAAUAUAUAAAAUUUAUAUAUUUUAAUUGCAACCUAAUCAGGGAAAACCCUAAUGAUUAAUUAGAUUUUCUAAUAAUUUAGAAAACCCUAAUUUUACGAUUUAAAACCCUAAUUAUUCUGUCAGGAACCGUAAUAUACAGUUAUGGAAUUAAUUGCUAAAUUAGUAAUUUUAAUUAGGAAUUAUUAAUCCUAAUUGUCAAUAAUUAUUUAUAAAUUGGGAAAUUAGAAUAUAAUUAGAAAAUUCUAAUUAUAAUUUAGAGAUAUUAAUUUUCUAUUUAGAAAAUCUACUUUUGAAAAUAUUUGAAAAUUGAUUUUUUUAGAACCUUAGGUUUUAACCCUAAUGGUCUAACCCUAAGGGUUGGGUUAAAUGACAAGUAUGCUAUUGAUUUUAAAAGUCAAAUGUCCAAUUUACCCUUUUGUGCAUUAUUGGAUAGAAGUGAAAAGUCUAAUUUACCCUUUUUCUCCCAUUUGGUGAAUUAUUGGUAGAAAAGUCCUACCAUAUCUUUCAAAGCCAACCAUUAUUGAUUUUGUGGUCUGAAAAUCCCAGCAAAUCAGUCUAUAAGAUCAGCAAUUAACAAGCCAAGUUCAUUGCAUCAAUUAUUAUAGAUUUUAGAGAGAGGAAAAGCUCACUUUAAUUAUUUUUCUCUCCAAAGUUUUCUCUCUCGCCCAAAUCUGAAAUUCUAGAGUGAGAGAGAGUGAAAUAUUGAGCCAAGAUCAUGUAAUAACAAGCCCAAUUCAGUUCGUCAAGAUCAGAAAUUAAAGUAAAGUUCAAAAGGUAUAAACCCCUAAAUUCUAGAAAUCCUUUUGAUUCUUGUAAAACUUAGUGUUUAGAUGUUUAAUGUGGUGUAUUAUGAUGUUAUUGAGUUAUCUGGGUUGUAAUAACAUGCACCCAUAACAUCUAAAUACACGAAAUUAAUGGUUUCUAAAAUCUGGAAAACUUGAAAAAUAUGGGAUGACAACCGAAUGUCGAUGCCUUUAAUCUGUGUAUGUUAGGUGUUUAAUGUGUUUGUUGUUAUAGGUCUAUAGUAUGCCAUGAGGUCUUCAUUCGGAAACUUGGAUCCAGUCCGGAUAGUGUGUAGAUUAAAAGUUAUAAGUGGUCAAACAUGCCUGCCCGACCGUGACUUUUCCCUUUUUCUGGGCAACCCAUAAUCCAUAAACAGGCGUCUGACAGUAUAUUCCAGCGUCUAGAUCUGUCAGUGUGUUGAUUAUUUGGUAAGGACAUUAUGUCUAAGUUGUAGUAUGUUAUGUUAACUUUAUGUUCAUGCUUUUAUAUCCUUGAAAUAAUCAACAUAUUGAGCUCUAUGGAUGGUCAAACCUGCAAAGAUGAUCACGGAUUUGGUUUUCUGGAAUUUCCAGAAAACUUAAGAGCAAUGUUUCUGACACACUUUGACUGGAUGGAUCCUGGCGAUUGAAGUGUUUUUGAACUACGAUGUUAGUAUAUAAAUGUUCCUUGUCAUGUCUACUACUAGUUUGAACCUUUAGACCACCUAAACAAAGAUCAGAACAUAGAUUAAAGUGAGCUUGAAUGUGUUAACUCGAAACUGUCUGGGCCCAGAAAACCCAGAACGUGUUCUAACAGUGAAUUUGCUUGCUUAGAUCUCUUUGUUGUUAUGCUAUUGGAUCAAACUAAUUGUUGUAUUGUGUAGUCUCGUAUGAGUACUACACGAUUUGACCAAGAUCAAUCCCAGAAACCAAAUGGUCUAAGAUCUACAAGUGGUCAAAGUAGCAGCCUUGAUAACGAAGCUGUCAGGCUCAAGAAUUUCGUCGCUAUAGGACCCUUUAGCGACACUUAUUUUCAGAAAUUAUAUUAAUUAAUUAAAUAAAUAGAUAAAAAUGGUUUUUACUUAUUAAAAAUACAUAAUAAAUUAUGAAAAAUUAUUUUAAAGCCUGAAAAAUAGUUUUUAAUUAUUUUGAGUAUAUUUCGAAAAUAUUUAGUAUUUUUGGAAUAUAAAAGGUAUUUAUUUAUUUAAUUAUAAUAUUAAAUAAAUGAUUUAAAAAUGGUUUUAAUUCAUGAAAAAUCAAUAAAAAUUAUAUUAUGACGUUAGAAUAUAUUUGAAGUUAUAAAAUAUAACUUUUGAUAUUUUGGCAUGAAAAUAUUAAUAUUUUAUUAUUAAUAUCAAUUAUUGGAUAAUAGAUUUAACUGUUUAAAAAUCAUAUAAAUAUGAUUUUAAGGUAUUAAAAAUACUGUGAUAUAUUAUAAUUAUAUUAUUAUAUUAUGUUAUGAUUUUCAUUAAAAUUUAAUGAUAAAUAGAUAUUAAUGAUUAAGAAAAUAUGUGAUAUUUAAUUUAUUUAAAUACAUUAUAAAUGAUUCGAAAAUCAUGAUAAAUGGUAAUAAUUAUCUGAAAAUUAUUACAAGUCUUAAAAAAUAUUUUGACUGAUAAGAAAAUUAUCUGAGGCAUGGUUAAAUGUUUAAGCAAAGUUUAAUUGAACUUAAACUCGUCAAUUGUCCAACUAGACAAUUGGGAUGAUAGAAUUGUGUCGGUUUCAAGUCAGACUGAAAUAGCUUGACUUUAUAUUAAGUUUUAUGUGUUGAAUAGACUGAUGGUGUUAUGCGCUACGUGUUUAGGUUACUGUUAUAUUGUGAUGAUAUUAUUCUAAUAUUGUAUAUCUAUAUUAUUAAUAUUAGGUCUUCAAACGAAGCUUAUUAUAUUGUGUUACGGUAAUCAACGGUUCAGGCAAGUUUCCUUUUACUUAACUCUACUAAGAGUUGUUCAUUCAGAUAUACUUAUGAUUAAUCAUCUCUGAUUGCCAUGUUGAAUUGUACUCUAUACAUCUUGCAUGUAUAAAUCAAGUAUGAAUGGCUGAUCACCUUCAUUACCAGUUGGUCCAGAUAUAUUAUUGUUCCUGUUCAAUACUUGUUCAGUCAAAAUUUUGUUCAUGUUAAUUAAGGGUGUACAUUGUGAAGGAUAGCCAGCUUAUUAUUCAGACUCUUUCAAUCGUGAUAUAUCUUUAAAUUGUUUAAAAACUUGCUGGGCAACUUUCAUGCUCACCCUUGCUAUAUCAUGAUAAACAUUGCAGAUAAGGCGAAUGCGUUCGGAUACAGGAAAAAGCAUAGUCAUCCUCUUGUAGAUUCAGAAACUCCCCAUCAGCUGGAACCUCUUCUUGAGCUGUAGACUUCUCCCCCUCAG
rnacentral:lncRNA from 1 species